rnacentral:rRNA from 1 species
UACGAAGGGGCUAGCGUUGCUCGGAAUUCACUGGGCGUAAAGCGCACGUAGGCGGACUCAUUAAGUCGGUGGUGAAAUCCUGGAGACUCAACUCCAGAACUGCCUUCGAUACUGAGAGUCUCGAGUCCGGGAGAGGUGAGUGGAACUGCGAAGUGUAGAGGUGAAAUUCGUAGAAUAUUCGCAAGAACACCAGUGGCGAAGGCGGCUCACUGGCCCGGUACUGACGCUGAGGUGGCGAA